rnacentral:lncRNA from 1 species
CUUCACUGAAGAACGCCAUCCCCAGUGAGGAUUUAUUUUACAGGUGUUCGAACGAAGCUCCAGCGAUGGUUUCAUCUCGGCUAUAUCAACUUUGGCGACCGACCUCAGAUGGAGAGAUCAACAGCAAUAAUGUGCAUAAUGGAGAGUUGAACCCAGAGAGAUGUAAUUGAAAUGAUGCAGGCAUACACAGCAGACAGCAGGUAGCGUUGAAGCAUUGUGAAUAAACAAAAUGGCGAAGAAGCAUCCAUGUCACAGUCAUGAUGACUUGAAGACUGUAGCAGUUGCCAUCAUGAGGAAGCGGAUCCAUAUGCAAGAGUACGCAGCAACAAGUGAAAACAUGUGCAUGGUAGCUGAUACACCAC